rnacentral:rRNA from 1 species
ACAGUUUGAUUCUGGCUCAUGACGAACGCUGGCGGCGUGCUUAACACAUGCAAGUCGAGCGGUAAGGCCCUUUCGGGGGUACACAAGCGGCGAACGGGUGAGUAACACGUGGGUGACCUGCCCUCAGCUCUGGGAUAAGCCCGGGAAACUGGGUCUAAUACCGGAUAUGACUCCAUGACGCAUGUUGAGGGGUGGAAAGCCUUGUGCGGCUGAUGAUGGGCCCGCGGCCUAUCAGCUUGUUGGUGGGGUGAUGGCCUACCAAGGCGACGACGGGUAGCCGGCCUGAGAGGGCGACCGGCCACACUGGGACUGAGACACGGCCCAGACUCCUACGGGAGGCAGCAGUGGGGAAUCUUGCGCAAUGGGCGAAAGCCUGACGCACCGACUCCGCGUGAGGGAUGACGGCCUUCGGGUUGUAAACCUCUUUCAGCUCCGACGAAGCGGAAGUGACGGUAGGAGCAGAAGAAGCACCGGCCAACUACGUGCCAGCAGCCGCGGUAAUACGUAGGGUGCAAGCGUUGUCCGGAAUUAUUGGGCGUAAAGAGCUCGUAGGCGGUCUGUCGCGUCUGCUGUGAAAACUCGGGGCUCAACUCCGAGCUUGCAGUCGAUACUGGCAGGCUAGAGUUCGGCAGGGGAGACUGGAAUUCCUGGUGUAUCGGUGAAAUGCGCAUAUAUCAGGAGGAACACCGGUGGCGAAAGCGGGUCUCUGGGCCGAUACUGACGCUGAGGAGCGAAAGCGUGAGGAGCGAACAGGAUUAGAUACCCUGUUAGUCCACGCUGUACACGUUGGGCGCUAGGUGUGGGAUCCCUUCUACGGGUUCCGCGCCUCAGCUAACGCAUUAAGCGCCCCGCCUGGGGAGUACGGCCGCAAGGCUAAACUCAAUGAAUUGACGGGA